UGCAAAUGAUAAAUUCUGCCUUGCACAGGCGUGCUGGCUGCAGGGCAGUGCAAAUUCAAUCCUUUUCAAGUCUGGCCAAAAACAUGCCCCAAAUUAAGAGAUUGCAGCCUAUUUACAAUACAAAAUAAAAUAACUCUAGGAGGGCUUGGUGGUGGUAUGAAUAAAUGCCGUUUAUUCUCUUUCUGACGGGAUAAUUUUCAAAGCAGUGAUUUUUAUAAAAACUCAGGAAGAAAACAAUUUUGUUUCAUUUCCAUAACAGAAUCCAGACCUUGAGCUUCACCCUGCGAUCAGUGAUUACACACACACUGCACCGUUUCGGCUGCAGCGGCUCCUGCUGUCCACCGGCUCCCGUCCUCCCUGCCUGUAACCGUCUGUGGUGAUUCGCGGCACUGCAGGACCAUGAUGGCCCGGAUCUGCUCGGACGCUCCGCCUCAGCUUCUCAUGGCCGCCCUCGCUAUUGCCACCCCUGCCCAGGCUGCAUCAAGGAGGUCAGGGGCCAGGGGAGAACUCUUUUGUUAUUGAGAAGUUUGAUUGCAAGACCUGACCCUUCCUGUGUGGACGGAUGGGCAGAUGCCCAGACUGGAAAGUCCUUGUGAACUUAUGCGCCCAGGCCAGGGUCCAUAUCAUCAGUUCGUAGAAGCUGGCACAGACCAGUGAUUCAUAUGCCCAGGCCAGGUCCAUAUCAUCAGCUCACAGAAGCCAGCACAGCCCAGCGAGUAGCCCUACAGACUCCACGUGGCCCAUGAGUAUCACGGUCA
rnacentral:lncRNA from 1 species